rnacentral:rRNA from 1 species
CCCUUAGAUGUUCUGGGCCGCACGCGCGCUACACUGACGAAUGCAACGAGCUUAUAACCUUGGCCGAAAGGUCUGGGUAAUCUCCAAAUUUCGUCGUGAUGGGGAUAGAUUAUUGCAAUUAUUAAUCUUCAACGAGGAAUGCCAAGUAAGCGCAAGUCAUCAGCUUGCGUUGAUUACGUCCCUGCCCUUUGUACACACCGCCCGUCGCUCCUACCGAUUGAAUGGUCCGGUGAAGCGUUCGGACCGUGGCCUUUGGACGGUUCGCCGUCUGUUGGCUGCGGGAAGUUCGUUAAACCUUAUCAUUUAGAGGAAGGAGAAGUCGUAACA